GGGUCGAUCAGGAUUCCCAAUUGGGUUGGACUCACGCCUCGUCUCGCACCUCUUCGGAUCCCCAAUUCCCGGCUCCCGCUUCCGUCGCCCGAUCAGGAUCAACCAUCCAUCGGUUGGAUUCCGAUCGAAUGGUUUUUCCGAUGUUUAUGGAGGAAUUGUUCCGGAUCGAGAAGAUGAAGCUGAGAUUUCUGCGCACCCUGCAGCUCAUGGGAUGCAAGCCUCGCCUUGCUUUCGAGUCAUCUCUGAGGCCUAGUGAUGCUAAUGGUACCAGUAGCACUGGAAGCAUUGAUGAUUUUAAGGGGGAAUGCGUUAACAAUGUUACCAGAUAAGUCUUUUCCAGUUGUGGCUGUCCGGGUAUAUCAUCAGGACCUGCCAAAGAGGUACUCUUAUUGAUCCUCCUUUCUUUAAGAACACCUUCCAUGCAUCCUCCUGCUGAUUAUCUACAUCAAAAUUUGUUUUUUAGAUGACUGCAGUUUGUUCUAGCCAUAAUGUUUUAGAUUAGUUGCUUACUUUCCUACUCAAAGUCCAAUAAAAGAAAUAAGAGCGACAGAAAUUAGUCAUGAAUUUACUCUCUUCUUGUUCUACACAUGUUUAAACUUCUUGGAGCCAUUAAACCAUGGGAGCGACAGAAGUUGUUCUCCUAUCCGCUGGCUUUGCUGAUAUUUCUGAUUUUUCAUAUAACAUUAAACCAUAUUUCUGAUAUCCAUUAAACCAUGGAUGAUUGGAAGUGUUCGUAUAACAUUUUAUGUAAUACAGUUUAUUCUGGUUGUAGGUUUUCUAAUCUGUGGUUCUUUGCAGCACCUCUAAUUCUCUAAUCGAGGUCAAAAUUUGCAAAAAAAUUCUUGUCAAAUUACUACGUACCAGUUUAAUGCUAAAUUAGUUACUUUGAGUCACAAUGAUGCAACUGACAGUGCAGAUCUCUGUUAGUUGUCUGUAAUAUUAUGAACUAUAAUAAACUGAUGAGAGUUUUUAAUGUCUCUAUAUUUGAAAGCAUUGUUUCUGGAUCAUAUCAAAUGGAAACCUUUGGUAGUCGCAGAGCAUUUGUUGAGUAAGAUGAUGGUUUGGUGUUAACUGUGAACAUCAGGUAUGAAGAGUACGGAAGUUCCAAGCAGAGUAGCAUGGAAAUUCCUUGAAUAAAAUUGCGAUCUAAGCUAAACCCAAUUGGUCCAAGAGGUUGUUCAGGUGGUGGAUCAGGCAUUUCUGGGAUCAAUGGAAGAUGUGAAUGAUGGACUACGAUUGAUGGCAACUAGCUAAAUUCUGGUAGCUGAUGUUGCAGCCAUGAGAGAUGAACUUCAUCUCCCAAUGGUUUGAAGUAUAUUUGUUGGUUCCAACUUGUUUGUAGGCCAUCCUAAUUGUAAAUUAAUGUCGUGAUUUGCAAGAGGAUUUGCUGCUAAUCCCAAAGGCUGUUAAGAUAUCUGUUAAUGGAAAACCGGGUGACAUUACCAUGGCUGGACAGUCUCUAGGUCUUGUCUUCGGAUUGCAUGUCAGCAUGCAGGAACAUGUCCAAGAAGAAUUAGCUGGGCUUAUCCGUUGCUUGAAAUAUAAAAAGCAUGUACAGUAUAUUGAUACAGGAUUUUUUGCAUUUGCAGCAUCUCUGCAAACGGAUUCUCUCUUUUUAUUACCACUGUUUUCUGUCUGUGACAUUUUGAUUGUUUUUGCACAUUAUAUAGUUAGCUAAUCUUGUUCAACGAUGACAUCUCCUGUCUACCUCAUGUUCUAGCUAAUCUUCAGUGCCUGACAGUGAAGAAGAGAUUGAUGAGGAACGAGAUUAUGAUCAAAAGUGACGUUUGAUGAGGAGAUUGCUGAGAAGGUAAGAAACAGAAACUUGAGCUGAAAAUUGAUGUUGACUUUUAGAAAGAAAAGUGGUAUCUUGUUGGCCUAGUGGAAUUAUUAAGCCUAGGUAAUACUGUGGGAUCACCACCCUCUAUUAUUCUCAAAAGAAAAAGGAAAGAAGAAGAAUAAGAAGAAAAGACACGAAGAUAGUCACUUCAUGAAAACUUCACUAGACUACAUUUUGUAUUAGGCAUAUUGUAGCUCAAUAACAUAAACACUAGUCUUGUUAUUCAGAGCCAUGUAGAUUGCAUAGAUUAAAUGACUGCUUAUGGACUGGUCGAAUAUUUCCUGUUGAUGCAAGUGACCAUGAAAAGUGUUGCUCUAAUAUUUGACUAUGACCACAUUAAAUAAUAAGGCAUUAUGUAUGACUAUGAUCUUAGAAGCAUGCUAAAUUUCUGGUUUUUGUGAUUUUUCCAUGUCAGCUAGGCAGCCGAUAACUUGAAAAGUUGGUUGUAGCCAAUUUCUCAUUUUGUAGUGAAGUGUUUGUCAACUGAUGCAUAUCAUAUGGUCUAACUUGUAUUUUUGUUUUCCUUGGUCUUUGCUUGGUUUGCUCAACCAAUGAGAUCAUUGCAACUAGAAUACUGUGGAAGCAGGCGUUAUAUGCUACAAAAGGGAUUUGAAUCAACGACACCUUUGAAAGGCAUCCGAAUGGUGGACAAUGGUAAGGAGGUCGUUCUAAUUGCUGUAGAUGUGACUUGGAAAUGUUGGACCACAUCAAUCGAUAAAUUGAAUUGAUCAAGAAAUCAGAAUUGAAUGAGCCCAAUCUGAUCAUUUCAGUUUUUAUGACAAUUACAUUUCUGUUCUUGCAAAUGCUGACAAUAAAAAGUUAUUGAGAACAAACACAAGAUAUUUUUCUUAUGUAUGUUGA